UGCAAAGGCAGACAUGGCAAAUGCACAUGUUUCAGAACAAGAACCCAAAGAUCAAAGGAUACUGGAGUUCCUCAUUUUCAGCAGAGAGCUGCAAGGAAGCUGAUAUGCAGAUGCACCAGGGGAACCAUUUGCAGCACAACCACUGGGACUAGUUAUGCCUGUAGCUCUCACUUCCACACAAAUACCAGGCAGUUCAGAGCUGAGAUUUCCCAAAGAUCUUUCACAUAAAUGCCAAACCAUAGUUCCUUUACAACACUGAUAAUCCCUCCCCGACUCCCAGGGGGAAAAUGGGUUGGAAAUAGGGCAUAAGGGAAUUAGGAUCUGUUCCUGGUUUGUUUUGCAAGGUGCUGUUUGGUAAACAUAAACAGUUUUCAAAAGACUCAGUAACUUGUUUUAAAGAAGAGCCGAGCAUUCACUGGGCUCAGAGUGGGGUCUUAUAGACUGGUUAAUUAUCUGCUGGGGCUUUAGUAACCCUAAGGAUCCUGUCACUGAAACCUGCAAUGAUUUAAAAUUAUCCUAAUCAUAAAAUGGAAGCCCCAUACACUGAGAUUAGCCCAGUGUGAUCCAGUCCCCAGACACAAGGUCACACUCAGUCCCAAUUUCUUUCAUUAGAACUUUUUUUUACCGUUGAUCCCGAUUUUCAGUGUCAUGGAGAAGGCUCUUGAGCAAGUGGUAGUUUCUUAGUCCAGAUUCACUCAGCCUGGUGCGGGAAAGUGUAAAUUGCAUCUCUCUGACAAGAAGGGAUCUGGCAUUGGAAGAGGAAAUUCACCAAGAGGGAACAUAGGUGGUGUGUCAACUACCGCUCUUCAUCAGGAUAGCUAUAAGAGAAGAGGAGUUUUAGUUUCCUUUGGUGGCUCCAUAGAAACCCUGACAAUGGAGGCUGGUGAAUGAGUGCGCCCUUCGGCUGCCCUGUCCAUAACCCUUUCCCCAACCCA